AGUGAACGCUGGCGGUAGGCCUAACACAUGCAAGUCGAACGGCAGCACAGUAAGAGCUUGCUCUUACGGGUGGCGAGUGGCGGACGGGUGAGGAAUACAUCGGAAUCUACUUUUUCGUGGGGGAUAACGUAGGGAAACUUACGCUAAUACCGCAUACGACCUACGGGUGAAAGCAGGGGAUCUUCGGACCUUGCGCGAUUGAAUGAGCCGAUGUCGGAUUAGCUAGUUGGCGGGGUAAAGGCCCACCAAGGCGACGAUCCGUAGCUGGUCUGAGAGGAUGAUCAGCCACACUGGAACUGAGACACGGUCCAGACUCCUACGGGAGGCAGCAGUGGGGAAUAUUGGGCAAUGGGCGCAAGCCUGAUCCAGCCAUGCCGCGUGGGUGAAGAAGGCCUUCGGGUUGUAAAGCCCUUUUGUUGGGGAAGAAAAGCAGCAGGUUAAAACCCCGCUGUUUUGACGGUACCCAAAGAAUAAGCCCCGGCUAACUUCGUG
rnacentral:rRNA from 1 species